rnacentral:rRNA from 1 species
GACGAACGCUGGCGGCGUGCUUAACACAUGCAAGUCGAACGGAAAGGCCCCUUUUGGGGAACUGGUGUGGCGGACGGGCGGGUAACACGCGCGUAACCUGCCCUCGUCUUCGGGAGAACUUCAGGAAACUGGGUCCAAUCCCGGCUAGGAAUCCUUGCUGCAUGGCGGGGGUUGGUAAGCUACGGCGGUUUUGGCUGGACGCGCGGCGUAUCAGCUUGUUGGUGGGGGAGUGGCUUACCACGGCGUUGACGGGUAGCCGGCCGGAGAGGGCGACGGGCCGCAUUGGGGCUGAGAUACGGCCCAGACUCCUACGGGGGGCAGCAGUGGGGAAGAUUGCAGGAUGGGCGGGAGCCGGAUGCAGCAGCGCCGCGUGCGGGAUGACGGCCUUCGGGUUGUAAUCCGGUUUCAGCAGGGGCGAAGCUUGUGGUGACGGUACCUGCAGAAGAAGCACCGGCUAACUACGUG